rnacentral:tRNA from 2 species
CCCUGGUUAGCUCAGUUGGGUAGAGCGCUCCACUGGAAAUGGAGAGGUCCCGGGUUCGAUACCCGGACCAGGCG